AUAGUAGUAGUAUAAUUAGUAUAGCUGUCUUCCAAACAGCAGGUUCGAUAGAUCGAUUACUAUAC
rnacentral:tRNA from 1 species